GGUAAGAUGGCCGAGUGGUUAAGGCGUUGGAUUUAAGCCCCAAUGACGUGAGUCUCCUGGGUUCGACCCCCAGUCUUACCA
rnacentral:tRNA from 1 species